rnacentral:rRNA from 1 species
GAUGAACGCUGGCGGCGUGCUUAACACAUGCAAGUCGAACGGAAAGGCUCCUGCUUGCAGGGGUACUCGAGUGGCGAACGGGUGAGUAACACGUGGGUGAUCUGCCCUGCACUUCGGGAUAAGCCUGGGAAACUGGGUCUAAUACCGGAUAGGACGAUGGUUUGGAUGCCAUUGUGGAAAGUUUUUUCGGUGUGGGAUGAGCUCGCGGCCUAUCAGCUUGUUGGUGGGGUAAUGGCCUACCAAGGCGUCGACGGGUAGCCGGCCUGAGAGGGUGUACGGCCACAUUGGGACUGAGAUACGGCCCAGACUCCUACGGGAGGCAGCAGUGGGGAAUAUUGCACAAUGGGCGCAAGCCUGAUGCAGCGACGCCGCGUGGGGGAUGACGGCCUUCGGGUUGUAAACGCCUUUCGCUAGGGACGAAGCGCAAGUGACGGUACCUGGAGAAGAAGCACCGGCUAACUACGUG